ACUGUUUUAUUUAGAAAGAUUCUUUUAUUUGGCUAAUGAAUGACUUGAAACGCGAGAUUAACUUGUUUCACCUACUUAUGUAACAUCUCUGCUUCAGGGCUUAGAAGCUGCAGCUAUGCGAUUCAGUCUGUGAGCCUCCAGGUACCCAAGGAGAUGCUGCCCAGUUAAAUCAGAUUUCGUUACAGCUGUGAUCCAAGCCAUGAAGUGAAAACUCAAAGUACACAGGAUUAAAGGAAACACCUGAUUUGCACAUCUGUUUCUUUUCAAAUGGAAAUGAAGUGGAGGAUAGUAAGCUUUUGAAUGCAGUGGUGCUGUUUGCUUGUUUGUUUCAAAACUCAGGCAAAAAAAAAAUGGGAAUAAUAAGACAUCCAGCAUCCAACUCUGUGUCGCAUUCAAGGAGAAGGAGUUUAGAUUCCUCUCCAAAAUGUAUGCUUUUCUGAGAAAGUCAGAAGAGUUAAUGAAAAAAGUCCCAAUUCUGAAGACUGAGAAACUCUG
rnacentral:lncRNA from 1 species